GUCAUUUAAAUUCACCAUGUAAAAAGGGAAAUAAAGUAAAAAGGUAUUUGAAUGGUGGAUGAGGUAAAUAUUGUUCAGCUAGAUAUGACAUAUUUAUUUAUUUUAUGUGCGUGGCUCUUACAACCCCAGAAAAUGCCAAGUAGCAAUUGACCAUCUUACAAAUAUUGAUCACUCCUUUAUUGGGGGAUUUUACAUAUUCUGAAAAGUAGGUACUAAAACAACACAAAAAGCCAUGUUGCUGCUCCAGUCAUACCUCACAGACAGAAGCUUUUCAGUCAUCCUGAGCAAUCUCUUCUCAUCCUCGACUCCUAUCACUUGUGGGGUCCCUCAAGGAUCUAUUCUGGGGUCUGUUCUUUUUUCACUGUUUAUGUUGUCCUUACCAUCCAC